ACCGGAGGGAGAGCCCGACCUCCCAGACCCCAAGGUAGACGGGCGACGCCCCCCGCCCCCACCCAGGGGUCUUGAAACCUCCGCGCCAGGACGCGCUAGGUACCUGGAAAGGGGGAGGUGGGCGAGGCGGGGCGUGGUGCCCCACGGGCCCGCGGCCCAGACCCUGACCACCGCCUCCGCCCGCGGGCCUCGGGCGCUACCAGCCCGUGACGCGGGGCCUGCCCGGCCCUGGCCAACAGCCGCCUGGAGUCCCUACAGCCGCCGCCACCAGCCCCGACGACCCCCCCCCACCCCCAUUUCAACCCCGAAAAGGAGCAGAACCCCACCGCGCGCCCAGACGGCACCCUCCUCUUCCCCCACAGCCGUGGCCCGUCCCCGCACCCACGUCCCAGGCACCCUUUCCCCUGCCACCGAGGGCAGAGGGACGCUCCGACGGGAAGCGUGGCGCAGUCGGGCAGGAGCACGACAGAGGAAGGGCGCGAGAGAGCCGGCCGGCCGGUCGGAGGGCACUCCCCAGGCUCGGAGGGCGGGGAGAGGCGCCUGGCGACCUGGCGGAGAGCAGAGCAAAGGACAAGCGACGACCGGCCGGGAAGACUGGUCCAGGGCCGGCGGCGACCGGCAGGCGAGCGGCCCCGCCGCGCAGCCUGCGAGAUGCACCGGACGCUCCGGACUGUGCCGUCACGACCGGGGACAGUCCUGGCCACCGCCAGAGGCGAAGGUGUGUAGCCGGGGGAACCUCGGCCCCCCAGCCUCGAGCACCCAUAAAAUUGAAUCAAUCAUCAGCCAAACCAAAUGAAAACAAUAGCGGUUAUCAACAGAGCGGAUUUCCAUCAAAGUACUCAGCCAUGAUGAGAAAUGAGACUGUUGUUCUACAGAGAAAAAUCUGGAAAGAUUCUGAUGUAGCCUAUGCUAUACCUAAACGAUACAUCAAAUGGGAUAUAAGGAAUAUGGCCUUAUAAAAUUCACAAAUAGCCCUCUAAUCAAAUCCCUCUGAGAUGGUACCACACAAAUCAAAACAAUAAAUGCAUCAUUUAAU
rnacentral:lncRNA from 1 species